UACGAAGGGGGCUAGCGUUGCUCGGAAUUACUGGGCGUAAAGCGCACGUAGGCGGCUUUCUAAUGUCGGGGGUGAAAUCCUGGAGCUCAACUCCAGAACUGCCUUCGAUACUGGAAGCUCGAGUCCGGGAGAGGUGAGUGGAACUGCGAGUGUAAGAGGUGAAAUUCGUAGAUAUUCGCAAGAACACCAGUGGCGAAGGCGGCUCACUGGCCCGGUACUGACGCUGAGGUGCGAAAGCGUGGGGAGCAAACAGG
rnacentral:rRNA from 1 species